CCUACGGGGGGCAGCAGUGGGGAAUAUUGCUCAAUGGGCGAAAGCCUGACGCAGCGACGCCGCGUGAGGGAUGAAGGUCCUCUGAUCGUAAACCUCUGUCAGCAGGGAAGAACGGUCACUGUGCUAAUCAGCAGUGAAUUGACUGUACCUGCAAAGGACGCACCGGCUAACUCCGUGCCAGCAGCCGCGGUAAUACGGAGGGUGCGAGCGUUAAUCGGAAUUACUGGGCGUAAAGCGCUCGUAGGUGGUAUGUCAAGUCAAGGGUGAAAUCCCCGCGCUCAACGUGGGAACUGCCUUUGAAACUGGCAAACUGGAGUGUGUGAGAGGAUAGUGGAAUUCCAGGUGUAGGAGUGAAAGCCGUAGAUAUCUGGAGGAACAUCAGUGGCGAAGGCGACUAUCUGGCACAUAACUGACGCUGAGGAGCGAAAGCGUGGGUAGCAAACAGGAUUAGAUACCCCUGUAGUC
rnacentral:rRNA from 1 species